rnacentral:rRNA from 1 species
AGGUCAAGCAAUAAGGGCACAGGGCGGAUGCCUUGGCACUAAGAGCCGAUGAAAGACGUGAUAAGCUGCGAUAAGCUUCGGGGAGGAGCAAAUAUCCAUUGAUCCGGAGAUCUCUGAAUGGGGAAACCCGGCGGAGCACACCUCCGUCAUCCAUACGCCAAUCCAUAACGUAUGGAAGGGAACCCGGGGAACUGAAACAUCUAAGUACCCGGAGGAAAAGAAAGAAAACUCGAUUCUGCAAGUAGCGGCGAGCGAACGCGGAAGAGCCUAAACCGGAAUGCGUGCAUUCCGGGGUUACGGACUGCAUUUAUGAUUCUUGGAAGCUAACAGAACGGUUUUGGGAAAGCCGGCCGCAGAGGGUGAAAGCCCCGUACGUGAAAGCUGAUGAGACAGAGCAGGAUCCAGAGUACCACGAGACACGAGGAACCUUGUGGGAAGUCAGGGGGACCACCCCCUAAGGCUAAAUACUACUUAGUGACCGAUAGCGCAUAGUACUGUGAAGGAAAGGUGAAAAGGACCCCGGGAGGGGAGUGAAAGAGAACCUGAAACCCUGUGUCUACAAGCUGUGGGAGCACCUUAUGCGUGCAACCGCGUACUUUUUGUAGAACGGUCCGGCGAGUUACGCUUACUGGCAAGGUUAAGCACUUCAGGUGCGGAGCCGUAGGGAAACCAAGUCUUAAGAGGGCCUUAAGUCAGUAGGAGUAGACCCGAAACCGGGUGAUCUACCCAUGUCCAGGAUGAAGCUGCCGUAAGAGGCAGUGGAGGUCCGGACCCACAUCCGUUGAAAAGGGUGGGGAUGAGGUGUGGGUAGGGGAGAAAUUCCAAUCGAACCCGGAGAUAGCUGGUUCUCCUCGAAAUAGCUUUAGGGCUAGCCUCGGUCAUGAGUCUUGUGGAGGUAGAGCACUGAAUUUCCUAGGGGGCGUCAAAGCCUACCGAAGAAUAUCAAACUCCGAAUGCCAUGUAGAUAAGACCGGGAGUCAGACCGCACGAGAUAAGUUGGGCGGUCAAAAGGGAAAGAGCCCAGACCUUCAGUUAAGGUCCCAAAGUGUACGUUAAGUGGAAAAGGAUGUGGGGUCUCGAAGACAACCAGGAUGUUGGCUCAGAAGCAGCCAUCCAUUCAAAGAGUGCGUAAUAGCUCACUGGUCGAGAGGCCCUGCGCCGAAAAUGUCCGGGGCUGAAACGUACCACCGAAACUAAGGGAUCCGCAAGGAUCGGUAGAGGAGCAUUGCAUGCGGGAGGAAGCAGUACCGUAAGGAGCUGUGGACUGCAUGGAAGAGAGAAUGCCGGAAUGAGUAGCGAGAUAAAGGUGGGAAUCCUUUAGGCCGAAUAUCCAAGGUUUCCAGGGUAAAGCUGAUCUGCCCUGGGUAAGUCGGGGCCUAAGGCGAGGACGAGAGUCGUAGCCGAUGGACAACAGGUGGAGAUUCCUGUACUGCGGUAUGACAGAACUGUGGGGACACGUAAGGAGAGCGGAAGCCGGGAAUGGAAAGCCCGGUGCAAGCGGGGUACCAGCCACUUUGGCAAAUCCGGGUGGCAAUGGGAAGCCGUGAUGCGGAGCGAAAUACAAGUAGCGAAGUCCGUGAGCCAUGCGUCAAGAAAAGCCGCUAUUGUUUAUACCGUACCCGUACCGUAAACCGACACAGGUGGAUGAGGAGAGAAUCCUAAGGCCGGCGGAAGAAGCAUUGUCAAGGAACUCGGCAAAAUGACCCCGUAACUUCGGGAGAAGGGGUGCCUGUGAGAACAGGCCGCAGAGAAUAGGCUCAAGCAACUGUUUAGCAAAAACACAGGUCUAUGCGAAACCGAAAGGUGAGGUAUAUGGGCUGACGCCUGCCCGGUGCUGGAAGGUUAAGAGGAGAGGUUAGC